GUGUCAGCCGCCGCGGUAAUACGUAGGGUGCGAGCGUUGUCCGGAAUUAUUGGGCGUAAAGAGCUUGUAGGCGGUUUGUCGCGUCUGCUGUGAAAGACCGGGGCUUAACUCCGGUUCUGCAGUGGGUACGGGCAGACUAGAGUGUGGUAGGGGAGACUGGAAUUCCUGGUGUAGCGGUGAAAUGCGCAGAUAUCAGGAGGAACACCGAUGGCGAAGGCAGGUCUCUGGGCCAUUACUGACGCUGAGAAGCGAAAGCAUGGGGAGCGAACAGGAUUAGAUACCCUGGUAGUCCAUGCCGUAAACGUUGGGCGCUAGGUGUGGGACUCAUUCCACGAGUUCCGUGCCGCAGCUAACGCAUUAAGCGCCCCGCCUGGGGAGUACGGCCGCAAGGCUAAAACUCAAAGGAAUUGACGG
rnacentral:rRNA from 1 species